GUAGAGCAUCUCGGCCGACCGCGGAAACGCGGCCUCCAGCUUGUUGUACG
rnacentral:pre_miRNA from 1 species